GACGAACGCUUGCGGCGUGCUUAACACAUGCAAGUCGAACGGAAAGGCCCUGCUUUUGUGGGGUGCUCGAGUGGCGAACGGGUGAGUAACACGUGAGUAACCUGCCCUUGACUUUGGGAUAACUUCAGGAAACUGGGGCUAAUACCGGAUAGGAGCUCCUGCUGCAUGGUGGGGGUUGGAAAGUUUCGGCGGUUGGGGAUGGGCUCGCGGCUUAUCAGCUUGUUGGUGGGGUAGUGGCUUACCAAGGCUUUGACGGGUAGCCGGCCUGAGAGGGUGACCGGCCACAUUGGGACUGAGAUACGGCCCAGACUCCUACGGGAGGCAGCAGUGGGGAAUAUUGCACAAUGGGCGGAAGCCUGAUGCAGCAACGCCGCGUGCGGGAUGACGGCCUUCGGGUUGUAAACCGCUUUCGCCUGUGACGAAGCGUGAGUGACGGUAAUGGGUAAAGAAGCACCGGCUAACUACGUGCCAGCAGCCGCGGUGAUACGUAGGGUGCGAGCGUUGUCCGGAUUUAUUGGGCGUAAAGGGCUCGUAGGUGGUUGAUCGCGUCGGAAGUGUAAUCUUGGGGCUUAACCCUGAGCGUGCUUUCGAUACGGGUUGACUUGAGGAAGGUAGGGGAGAAUGGAAUUCCUGGUGGAGCGGUGGAAUGCGCAGAUAUCAGGAGGAACACCAGUGGCGAAGGCGGUUCUCUGGGCCUUUCCUGACGCUGAGGAGCGAAAGCGUGGGGAGCGAACAGGCUUAGAUACCCUGGUAGUCCACGCUGUAAACGGUGGGUACUAGGUGUGGGGUCCAUUCCACGGGUUCCGUGCCGUAGCUAACGCUUUAAGUACCCCGCCUGGGGAGUACGGCCGCAAGGCUAAAACUCAAAGGAAUUGACGGGGCCCCGCACAAGCGGCGGAGCAUGCGGAUUAAUUCGAUGCAACGCGUAGAACCUUACCUGGGUUUGACAUGGAUCGGGAGUGCUCAGAGAUGGGUGUGCCUCUUUUGGGGUCGGUUCACAGGUGGUGCAUGGCUGUCGUCAGCUCGUGUCGUGAGAUGUUGGGUUAAGUCCCGCAACGAGCGCAACCCUUGUUCACUGUUGCCAGCACGUUAUGGUGGGGACUCAGUGGAGACCGCCGGGGUCAACUCGGAGGAAGGUGGGGAUGACGUCAAGUCAUCAUGCCCCUUAUGUCCAGGGCUUCACGCAUGCUACAAUGGCUGGUACAGAGAGUGGCGAGCCUGUGAGGGUGAGCGAAUCUCGGAAAGCCGGUCUCAGUUCGGAUUGGGGUCUGCAACUCGACCUCAUGAAGUCGGAGUCGCUAGUAAUCGCAGAUCAGCAACGCUGCGGUGAAUACGUCCCCGGGGCUUGUACACACCGCCCGUCAAGUCAUGAAAGUUGGUAACACCCGAAGCCGGUGGCCUAACCGUUGUGGGGGAGCCGUCGAAGGUGGGACUGGUGAUUAGGACUAA
rnacentral:rRNA from 1 species